UGUUUUGAACGAAAAAAUCCUAAAUUGUGUUGGUGUGACUCUGAACGAACUUCAGAAUGUCCCCCUUUUAAUAGUGUCUGUCGUACCAUAAUAAACUUGCGAAUCAUCAUGACAAAAUAGAUUAUUCGAUAGAUAAUAUGAAACAUGAUAUUUUUUUUGCUGUCAGAGCUUAAAGAAAAAUGAUACUGGUGCGUUUUAACUUUUGGACUAUGAUACGUAAAUGUUUCAUUUUAAAUACUAGUUCAUUUAUAACAAAUUCAGGCUACAUGCAAUCUUAUUUCCUGAAUUUUCUAGAAUGUCGUUCUUUCAUCUCGAUCACAUAUAAAGAGAAGUUAACUGUACCCUGUGUCUAGGCGUCAGACCAAAGGACCACAGAAAUAAACGGGUGUUAGUGAAGAGCCAUAUGCUGUAAACUGUAAUGAUUAAGGAAAGUGAUUCUGCCUUUGGGACCAGUGCACUAUUCGCAGUUCAGUCAGUAUCUUUUUGAUUGAAACCGUUCUGUCCAGAAUUCUUGGAUCCGUCUAUGGUGUUAAAAAUUAGACAUGAUGUAUGCAAGAAGACAAAAUGUGUGUCAGUGGAUCAUUUCAGAGAGAAGUUACAAGAAAAGAGAACAGUUUCUGCUGGGAAAUUGGCCAAAGAGAUGAGUUGCUGAGGUUAUCGUCAAUUCUGAAGAUAAUUGCGCGGGAAUUCUGUUUUGUUCAGUAUUACAGCCGUCAAUAAUGCCUCUAGAAGUUUUCUGUUGAAAACAUUAUCAAAUUAUUGAGAAGAAAGAAGCGAUAUUCUCAGCUUGUCAAGACAAUGUGAUCUGAAACUUUGAGUUAUCAUUUCUUAAUUCGCCGUUACGUUUCUCAUCGAAAUAUAAGAAAAUAAGGUCGAUGUAGGGUUCAUAUGAGAAUACUACAAUGGCUGUUAGAUCAAUUAUGCCAUCUCUUUGAAAAUUAACUUUGUUUUCGGUGAAAUAUUGCAAAUUUAGUUAUUCCCAUGGGUGACCUAUACGUUAACUCUGUAUGUCAGAUUCUUUUAUUAGGCUUUUCACUUGCGUAAUUAACCUAAAGUAUUUGAAAGAAAUGAAGGAAAAUGCAAUAACAGAGGUGUCAAAAGAAAAACAGGCCUAAGGAAGCGGUAAAUCUGUAAUCGUAAGACUCAUUUUACCUGCCGGUUCUAGUGAUGGGCGAUUUAGUGAAUAUUCUACCUUGGUGGCAUAUGAGAAAAUUCAUAAAUUACGAUUUGUCAAAAUUUGGGUUUGUGGGUGGUCGAACCGCACAGAGAAAGUCUUGGGAAUCCUAAACAAAAGAAAUGGUAUCGUUUGCAACAGAAGUGAUUUAUUCUCAGAUAUUAAAUGCAUUUUAUGGAUACACAGUAAGUGAAAUUAAUGUGAUUAUAAUUGGAUCGUUAAGCACAAACGUGCAGUUCUAUAAAUGAGCCUCACGUGUAAUAAACAUUUAUCAUGGAAAAAAAUAUAAACAAUUUUCAUCGUAGAAAACUAGUAAUGAGAUAUAAAUUACAGAUCAUGCCAAAUGUGCAUAGCAUGACGACAAUCCUUGCGGUGCCUUUUAACUGCUCAUGUAACAGUAAUAAAAUAUUGCAAAAUUUAGUGUACAUGUUUAGUUUAAACCUGUAUAUCUUGCACUGAUUGUGGAGGCCGCUCUCAAAACUUAUGCUAACAUUGCUCGAUUUUCUUACAAUGUUCUUGCCUUGGUUAGGGAUUGUGGAGACCGAGGUCAAUUUCCUUUCUCACCUAGGUUCGGAUCCACAACCUUUGCCUACGCUCCACUGUUCCAAAAUAUGUUAAAUAGAUAUUCCGAUUUGAUAGUAUUGAAAGAAAGGAAUGAAUAUUGUGUCAAAAUGUUAUAUACGUUUACACAAAUAAAUGUUUAUCUGAAGUGUUUCGUUACUUGAACUUUUACUAUCUCAAAACUGAUAUAAAAAUAAUAACAAUUUAAUAGUAUUAACGAUGAUGAUGAUGACGAUGAU